rnacentral:rRNA from 1 species
UGGCGGCGAGUGGCGAACGGGUGAGUAAUACAUCGGAACGUGCCCUGUUGUGGGGGAUAACUAGUCGAAAGAUUAGCUAAUACCGCAUACGACCUGAGGGUGAAAGCGGGGGACCGGUAACGGCCUCGCGCAAUAGGAGCGGCCGAUGUCUGAUUAGCUAGUUGGUGGGGUAAAGGCCUACCAAGGCGACGAUCAGUAGCUGGUCUGAGAGGACGAUCAGCCACACUGGGACUGAGACACGGCCCAGACUCCUACGGGAGGCAGCAGUGGGGAAUUUUGGACAAUGGGGGCAACCCUGAUCCAGCAAUGCCGCGUGUGUGAAGAAGGCCUUCGGGUUGUAAAGCACUUUUGUCCGGAAAGAAAUCGCGCUGGCUAAUACCUGGCGUGGAUGACGGUACCGGAAGAAUAAGCACCGGCUAACUACGUGCCAGCAGCCGCGGUAAUACGUAGGGUGCGAGCGUUAAUCGGAAUUACUGGGCGUAAAGCGUGCGCAGGCGGUUUUGUAAGACAGGCGUGAAAUCCCCGGGCUUAACCUGGGAAUGGCGCUUGUGACUGCAAGGCUAGAGUGCGUCAGAGGGGGGUAGA